UACCAGCCGGGAGAUCAGCGGCCUCCUGCACCUGAAAUCCGCUAUAGCAGGGGUGGUAUCCCGGAACGAGGGUUGGCUUUGUACGGUCUGUGCCGUUUUUCGCUGUAUUGACGGACGGGUCCCAGCGCAAUCAGCGCCUGUGAACCAUGUCAGGCGGGGAACCGAGCAGCAUUAAGCAGUUUCGCUGAUGUGCCGCAGGGCUGCCUGUCCUGAGCAGCG
rnacentral:SRP_RNA from 1 species